AUUCAGAAUGUCACCUGGUGAUAAGAUGACAUGCAUUUGAGCCUCAAUCCCCUUCCAGCAUCCCCUCUCCUCUGCCCCGCAAGCCACAAGCUGGCAGCUUUCCGAUUCCAGAGCAAGCUUGCCACACGAAUCCUGCGAGGAACAGCAGUUAUGUCUUAAUCUCCUCUCCUCCUGUCCCCACCGGAGGCUGAGCCACUCUGCCUGGGAAGGACGGAGGAAGGGCAACCUGCACAGGCUUUGCCCGAGAAGGGUUCUCAUCCUCCUUGCAAAUUCUAAGAGGACACCCACCCAUUGGAAGGGUUUUCCCUCCCGCUCGCCCCCAUCCCGAACUCUCUCCACGCCCCGCUUCUUCCCCCACGCACACGGCGGCUGCACCGUCACAGAAAGCAGGUGAACGCGGGGCCACGGGGCGCUCGGGUAGAAAUGCCACGUCGCACCACCAAGUCACACCGUCCCUGCCCGUCCCUCUCCGGCCAUCCCACUAACUAUUGUAUUGGGGCCAUGCAGCCGCUGGAAUAAUCAGCGAAGCCACAGGUCUCCCCAUCUUGGCAAGUGGAGGUGUGCGCUGCCCUCAGACAUCUGUGAACCGCUGUUCAACGCCAACCCCGAAGGCAGAAGGGGAAACCAAGUCACCUCCCAGAAAGACGUUUGAUGAGCAGAGAUAGAUUUGCCUCCAGACUGGUACCAGGUCUGGGGAAACCCAGGCAGAGCCCCAGGCUCUAUGCGACCCAAAGAAGAAAAAAAUGGGUGCACAGUGAUGGCUCCAGGUCUCCCCACCCAGAUGCUACCACGAAAUCCCUGGCAUCCACGAAGCUUCCCCCUGUUCCAUGGUGGAAAUUGGGGGAAAAUGGACUUGUGUCUCCAAGCAGGGUCCAUGGACACUGGACGAUGCCUGAAAUCCCCUGGGAGGCAGGGAAAAAAGGCGCACUGAACGCUCAACCGGGGUAUAAGGAGUGAUUUUUUUUUCUCUGCUGGCAGCAGGCAGGAACCUGGGGUUUGAAUGUCCCCUUCUCUGUCGCCACCUCACGCAGACUUCAGAGGCUCUCAAGGUUUCCUGGAGAGGGGGAAAUCGUCCCCGGAGCUGACCUGCCAACCAGUAGCACCCUCCAGCGCCUCAGCCGGGCCACGCCAAAAUGACCUGUCACCCAUCUCCCGCGGGGAGUGGGGAGCGGGCCAGUCCACCGCCUCUUGGGACGGCAUCUCUGGACGGCCACUGACAGUACCAGUCUCUGUCACCCCCUGGGGGGUUAGGGGCAAUGUCAUCGGCCAGGGUGGCAGAAAUAGAAAAGUGCGUGAGCUCACCAGGCAGCCUGGGUCUCCUGCGACGUUUUGUUUGCCUGAGCCCAAUUAGAACAACUCUCAGGAUGAUGGAGUAUGGCGGGCGGUGGCCCCCAGGGGGCUGGGAGGCCUAGCCCCCAUGCAGAAGUGCACCGUCAUGAUGAGGGUGUCCCCCGGGCCUGGGGAACAGGGCAGGACCCUGCUUCCCGGAGGGAAAUAAU
rnacentral:lncRNA from 1 species